AUUGAACGCUGGCGGCAGGCUUAACACAUGCAAGUCGAGCGGAGAUGAGGUGCUUGCACCUUAUCUUAGCGGCGGACGGGUGAGUAAUGCUGAGGAAUCAGUCUAUUAGGGGGGGAUUACAUAUCGAUAGGACUGCUAAUACCGCAUACGCACUACGGGGGAAAGCGGGGGAACUUCGGAAUUAGCGCUAAUCGAUGAGCCUAAGUCGGAUUAGUUAGUUGGUGGGGUAAAGGCCUACCAAGGCGACGAUCUGUAGCGGGUCUGAGAGGAUGAUCCGCCACACUGGGACUGAGACACGGCCCAGACUCCUACGGGAGGCAGCAGUGGGGAAUAUUGGACAAUGGGCGGAAGCCUGAUCCAGCCAUGCCGCGUGUGUGAAGAAGGCCUUUUGGUUGUAAAGCACUUUAAGCGAGGAGGAGGCUACCUGGAUUAAUACUCUAGGAUAGUGGACGUUACUCGCAGAAUAAGCACCGGCUAACUCUGUGCCAGCCGCCGCCGUAACAC
rnacentral:rRNA from 1 species